AAAAAGUAGGGGAGCAGAGUGAAAACACUGCUUUUAGGUGAAGUGACAGCAUAUGCUCUUUUGUUUCACUCGGUGGGGUGAUGAGA
rnacentral:snoRNA from 1 species